AAACAGGAAGUAUCUCUCUUCCCCUCCGCUCCUGCUCCAGCGGCACAAUGUGAUCCACUGGCAAGGAGGGACGCCAAUAAGACAUCUGAUAGAUAAGUCUUAUAAAAUAUAUAGAUUUAUGAUAAUUAAGAUUGAGCUAGCAGAUGAGAAUCCUAGUCAUUGGCCAAGCAGCAUUGUACCUAAUACAAGUUUCUGUGUAUUAAUUUGGGCCUAACUCGGGCAGGUGGCUGGGUAAAGCUCACACAUGGCGGUGGGCCUCAGGCGGCUUUUGGCGGAAAGACUUAAUGUAACAUAAUUCUUUUAGUUUUAUUUAAAACAAAUACAUAGUUUAUAAAAUUUUUAUUGAAAUGCUGAGGAUAAUACCUAAGUCUUCAUGCAUGUUUUGACUAUUUAAUAAUACAGCAGUUAAUAUGACUUAGCAAAUACGAUUUAUGUUCUCCCCAAAAUUUGAACAUUCUGUAAUUUUUCCCCAAAUAUGUUUCAGAGAAAAAUUUGCAUAGAUAUAUUUGCUGGUUGGUAUGCAAAUUUUUAUUUCCACUUUGAAUUGGUCUAUGAUCUUUUCACUUUUGUCUACCAUUAGUAUUUUCCAUCUAUAUUCAAAGCCAUUGGAAUAUAACUAGAACACACCAUAAAGUCAAGAUCUGUUGCAAAUUAAAUUUCACUUAAUAUUGGUAAUAUCAGCAUAAAAAUAGGGGUGACUCAGGAAUUGGAGUUACUCCUUAACUCUUAGUGAAUAUGCUGUAUCUAUCUUUCUGGUUUAGUUUUCAAUUUUCUGAUCUACUAAUUUUAAUAAGUUUAUUCAUUUACAAGAGCUGCUGUAAGAAAUUACCAGAGCAUCGUGGAUUAAAACCAUUCCUGAGUCUGAAAGCCAGAAUCAGGAGUUGGCAGGAUUUGUUGCUUCUUGAUUUUCUGUCAGACAACCUAUUAUCUAACUUCUGGCAGCUGCAGGCCAUCUAGGGAAGCCUCCACCUCCAUCUUCAUCUGAUUUGCUCCACAUUUCUUGCUAAAAGCCACAAGAUCAUGCAACAAUAUACAGCUAUCAUAUUGUUAUGCCCAGUUUGUGGGACACCAAAAAGUCCACCACCAAAGAGACAAUUCAUCAAAUGGAAAAACAAAAGUUUCAUUUAUUGGCAAGCUACAGCCUGGAUUCUGCUGGCUCAGGAGCAAAUGGAAUACAGCUUACAGGUCUCUGGGCUAUUCAACCUGACAUUCCUGAUCAUCAAGGCAGUGUUGGACAUAGACUCUCUCAAGUGUCAAGGGCCUAAAAUUAGACCAGUCAUUGUUGGCAACUCCCACAUGUACUGCACUUUCAUUACCCCAGGACAUUUUUCAGGCAGUAUAAAUGGUUUGUCCUCCCCAUCUUCCUUUGUGUCUGAGAGUAUCCAAAAAGAUAUUAAAUUCUCCAUCAGUAAGAAAAUCCAAGCUGAGCUGUUUCUCUAAUAAUGUCUCUCAUCCUGAGGUCAAGAAAGCUUCUAAUCCAGUCAAGUGAUUUACAGAGGUCCAUCUUUUAAGGAAUAUUUGAGAUGUAAGAGAAGCUGUAUUCCAUAGCAGCUGUACCUCCUUACAUUCUCACUCCCAACCACCUAUCCAUGAGUCAGAAGCUUCUCCUUAAACUGGCCAACAAUCCCUCCUGUCUGCAUUUUAUUUUGAUUUUUUUUCUUUUAUUGUGAUCACAGUAUAUUGUAGCAUCUCACUGAGAUUUGGAUUUUCAUUACUCUAAUAAAUAAUUACAUCUUUUCAUGGACUUAUUUGCAGGCUUCUUUCUUCUUUAGUGAGAUGUUUUAUAUUAUCUGAGGAGAUUUUUACCCAUUUUUUAUAUAUCAUAAAACCACCUCUGAACAGAAUUCACAGUCUUUACAUAGGAUAUGAUAUUAUCAACAAAACUCAUAUACAGUUACACUUUUUGGUCAGAAUAUUUUAACAAAUGUGGUAUAGCAGUAAAUAAAUAAUGUGGCCCAUCCAAGCAUACAUUAAUCUCCCAGUCAUGCAGUGUCAAUGCUAAUUUUUUUUUCUGGAAGUUUGCCACCGUCUGUCCAAGUGAGAAUAUGUAUGCCCUUUAGCCUAGAAGUAUCAUUUCUUAAAUAGUCAGAGAUAUAUUUAAAGAACUAUAUAUUUAAGUGCAGAGCUAUGCCUCCAAAUAUUGAUGCAAAUGUUACAGAUGGAAAUUACAUAAAAAUAAAAAUUAUGGGAUUAAGUAAGGUAAUUAUGGUGUAAGAUCACAAGAAACACAAUGGAAUUAUUGGACAUCGUGUAUCAAAAUUGGAUUAAUUAACUUAGAAUUGAGGUUUCUAGUUGGUUUUCUUACACUAUUUGAUAGCACUUAGCAAAAUUACAAAUGUGGUUUAAUUCUUAAAAGUAAAAUUUAGAUGUAAAUCUAUUCAUUAUGUAAAUAUUUACAGUCAAUUCCUUGCCAGGAGCUGUGUCAGGCAAUAGCAACCCAGAAACAGAGGAUGAUCCCACACAAAAAGAACUGUAGAAAUAUGUCAAACCUGGUGGACAGAAAGGACAGUCAAAUUUUAAGAAAUAUGUGUUCACUUAGAAAGAUCAGCAACAGGCAAAUUACAGCAGAGUGGUUAAAUAUGUACAGAAGCAGCUGGAUCAGAAACUCAGAAGGGACAGACUUCAAACCCUAACUAUGUCAAAUGGGAUAAAUUGUGACCUCAAAUUACAAAACAGCCAUUUAAAUUUCUAUGUGAACCAAUAAACUAUUUUAACUAAGACAGCA
rnacentral:lncRNA from 1 species